UUUUUUUGGCUGCUGAAAUUUGAAUGCAUUCCAAUUUUUCUGCUCCCGUGAUGGACUUUCUGCAUCUGGUUGUGCCGGUGGUAGAAACUCAGCCCUUCAGGUCGCCAGGAACAAAUCUUCGGAUAUCGUGUAUCGCAGCUCCUGUCUUAUUUAGCUUUCGGUACGAUUGUCUCAGGUGACAUGGUGCUGAACGCUGCAUGGCGAUGGCUGAUGUAUAAAGUAAUAUCCACUAGUAAAGGCCCAAUCGGAAAUGACUAAGUGCAUCUAAUCGGAUGAAAUGUUUAGGUUCUGGACUGUCUUAUCUUACACUGCCAUACGGCGCUACUUUGGCCGAAGACCUCGGUGUAGAUCAGAACCGAUUCGAUAGGUUCCCAAGGGCCUGUGGCUGAUAUGGUGGGUGCCAAAACACACACCAUAACGCCAGAACUACAUACAUAUAACACCACCAUUGGGCUAAGGUUUGACAGCAAUUAGCUGAAUUACAAUCCAAAUUUUCUCGCUUUUAAAUGAAUGCCUGCCGAUGAUAGUGCGUCGACAUGGGAAAUGGUUCAUCAAUUAGCGAAGAAAAUUACAAAUGGUUCGAGAUAACCGAUUUUGAUCUGGACCAUGAGUUCAACCCGAAUCGGGACCGCCGCCAAGAACCAGAAAAAUGAAGAUACGGUUGUUUCUUCUCUAAGAGUCCGGCCUCCCGACCUGGCUGACAGGAGUCGGUGAAAAUUCUCCAUGGUUUAAGGUGGUCCGAUCGAUUUAGUUUCCAAUACGAUCUAGCUAAUGGGGAGGAAACAAAAGAAGAAAAAAUUAAGGAAGAGCAAACCAAUGAAUAUUAUAUUAUUAUAUUCAAAAUUUCGAAACAGUCUACGAAUAGUCCCAAAUAUUUCUUCUAAGAGCAAUAAGUCGCCCACUGGAAUGCAUUAAAAUUUUAUGAAAAUGAAUUUUAAAUGAAUUUUUAAUCUGUUUUCAUGGUGUUUUGUGCCUGUUGGAGAAGAGGCACGGAAGAAGGGCUUUCCCUAUUUAAUAAUAAUAAAACAAAAUAACAAAGAAAACUAUCUUUUUUUUUAGAAAUUCUUUAUUUGAAACGGCUCAUAUCUUUAGGCUUUAAGGAGCCAAACUCGUUUUGUUUGAUUACAAUGGUGGGCUUAUGUCUAAUUCACUUUUAAAGAAAAAGGGAAAUAUAUAGGGAAAUAUGAAAAUAAGAAUAAUUAUAGACGAAGAUCAAUAGCUUUUAGAAAAAGGUAUAUUUCGAACAUGUAGCCCAAGUCUAUCACAGGAUCUUUCACUGGAACAUAAGGCGGCUUUCCUCGGGCCCGAAGAAGGAAACCAAUCUUUGAAUCAAUAAAACAUUUGAAAAAAAGCUA